rnacentral:rRNA from 1 species
UGCUCCUGAUGUUAGCGGCGGACGGGUGAGUAACACGUGGGUAACCUGCCUGUAAGACUGGGAUAACUCCGGGAAACCGGGGCUAAUACCGGAUGGUUGUUUGAACCGCAUGGUUCAAACAUAAAAGGUGGCUUCGGCUACCACUUACAGAUGGACCCGCGGCGCAUUAGCUAGUUGGUGAGGUAACGGCUCACCAAGGCACGAUGCGUAGCGACCUGAGAGGGUGAUCGGCCACACUGGGACUGAGACACGGCCCAGACUCCUACGGGAGGCAGCAGUAGGGAAUCUUCCGCAAUGGACGAAAGUCUGACGGAGCAACGCCGCGUGAGUGAUGAAGGUUUUCGGAUCGUAAAGCUCUGUUGUUAGGGAAGAACAAGUACCGUUCGAAUAGGGCGGUACCUUGACGGUACCUAACCAGAAAGCCACGGCUAACUACGUGCCAGCAGCCGCGGUAAUACGUAGGUGGCAAGCGUUGUCCGGAAUUAUUGGGCGUAAAGGGCUCGCAGGCGGUUUCUUAAGUCUGAUGUGAAAGCCCCCGGCUCAACCGGGGAGGGUCAUUGGAAACUGGGGAACUUGAGUGCAGAAGAGGAGAGUGGAAUUCCACGUGUAGCGGUGAAAUGCGUAGAGAUGUGGAGGAACACCAGUGGCGAGGCGACUCUCUGGUCUGUAACUUACGCUGAGGAGCGAAAGUUGGGGGAGCGAACAGGAUUAGAUACCCUGGUAGUCACGCCGUAAACGAUGAGU